rnacentral:rRNA from 1 species
AUUGAACGCUGGCGGCAGGCCUAACACAUGCAAGUCGAGCGGAUGAAGGGAGCUUGCUCCUGGAUUCAGCGGCGGACGGGUGAGUAAUGCCUAGGAAUCGGCCUGGUAGUGGGGGAUAACGUCCGGAAACGGGCGCUAAUACCGCAUACGUCCUGAGGGAGAAAGUGGGGGAUCUUCGGACCUCACGCUAUCAGAUGAGCCUAGGUCGGAUUAGCUAGUUGGUGGGGUAAAGGCCUACCAAGCCGACGAUCCGUAACUGGUCUGAGAGGAUGAUCAGUCACACUGGAACUGAGACACGGUCCAGACUCCUACGGGAGGCAGCAGUGGGGAAUAUUGGACAAUGGGCGAAAGCCUGAUCCAGCCAUGCCGCGUGUGUGAAGAAGGUCUUCGGAUUGUAAAGCACUUUAAGUUGGGAGGAAGGGCAGUAAGUUAAUACCUUGCUGUUUUGACGUUACCAACAGAAUAAGCACCGGCUAACUUCGUG